GACGAACGCUGGCGGCGUGCUUAACACAUGCAAGUCGAACGGAAAGGCCCUGCUUUUGUGGGGUGCUCGAGUGGCGAACGGGUGAGUAACACGUGAGUAACCUGCCCUUGACUUUGGGAUAACUUCAGGAAACUGGGGCUAAUACCGGAUAGGAGCUCCUGCUGCAUGGUGGGGGUUGGAAAGUUUCGGCGGUUGGGGAUGGACUGGCGGCUUAUCAGCUUGUUGGUGGGGUAGUGGCUUACCAAGGCUUUGACGGGUAGCCGGCCUGAGAGGGGGACCGGCCAAAUUGGGACUGAGAUACGGCGCAGAGUCCUACGGGGGGCAGCAGUGGGGAAUAUUGCACAAUGGGCGGAAGCCUGAUGCAGAAACGCCGCGUGCGGGAUGACGGCCUUCGGGUUGUAAACCGCUUUCGCCUGUGACGAAGCGUGAGUGACGGUAAUGGGUAAAGAAGCACCGGCUAACUACGUG
rnacentral:rRNA from 1 species